UCCCAGCACUUUGGGAGGCCGAAGUGGUGAAUCACCUGAGGUCAGGAGUUCUAGAUCAGCCGGGCCAACAAGGUGAAACCCUGUUUCUACCAAAAAAUACAAAAAUUCGCUGGGUGUGCUGGCACGCACAUAUAAUCCCAGCUACUUGGGAGGAAGGCUGAGGCAGGAGAAUCAGUUGAACCCAGGAGACGGAGGUUGCAGUGAGCCGAGAUCAUGCCACUGCACUCUGGCCUGGGUGACAUAUUAAGACUUCAUCUCAAGAGAAAAAAAGUGGGGAGAGAUAUGGUCAGAUUUGUGGUUUGUAAAAAUGGCUGUGGCAGUCUGUAGGGAGGUAGGUGGGAGGUUGGUGGCAGGACUAUCAGUUCCCCAGCCAGGCUGUUAAGGCCCCUGUGGGCAGUGACAACAUGUCUUUUCCUCUGGAAUUUUCCAUAACACCCAGCAGGGAUGGGACAUGCAGCUGGUGCUCAACAAAUGUCUGCUGUAUGAAACACAAGCGUGCCCUGAGUCGGUGGAUUUCACAGCCCUCAGAGCCUGCCCUCCCCCAGCACUGUCCAUGGUACUAACACACACCAUUGCAAUCCCAGUGGGCUCCCUGGUGGCAGCCUACGGGGUGUGUGUGUGUGUGUGUGUGUGUGUGUGUGUGUGUGUCUGUGUGUCUGUGUGUCUGUGAAGUUGCGUGGGGAAGGGGACCGUCAGUGCCUGUGUCUUGUGAUCAAGACAGGGUCUCAGCUGUUCCUGUCUCAGAAAGGCUGCCCAGGUGCCCAUGUGUCUGGAGGGCAGAUCCCCACUUCAUCUGGCCAAGCUUUAGCACAUGGAUUUGAGGCAGAAAUUGAAGCCAGACACAAAGAAUGGGGCCUGAGUUGGGAAGUUUUGGAUACCACACUUCUGAGUCUGCAUCUAUAGAAAGAGCGUGACAAGGCCACAUUUGUGUUCCAGGAAGAUCACUCUGGUGGUAGCAGGGAGGACAGAUAGGAAAGGAGAGACGGGAGUCUCUGAGCCCCACGUGAGCCCCCAGUGCCACACAACAGGACUUUGGAGAAAGAGGAAAUGGGAUGGGGGUGGGGUAGAAUAACCGGGCAGGCCUUGCUGGAAGUGGUAGGACUUAAGGGGGCUCUUGAAGGAUUCAUAGAGGGAUAGGGGUAUGUCGGGCAGGGUGAACAGCGUGGGCAAAGUAGAGAGGUUGGAACCAUUGGUAGCUAAGAAAGAGUGGGGAGACUCUUGCCUUUCUGUGCUUUGUCCUCCCCACCUCCUUUCUGUGGACCUUUUGAGCAGGGAGGGGGCGUGCUGUGAGACUGAGCUCAGCUGCAUCUCUGGGUGUCUCUGGCUGAGGGAGGGGGGAGGCUGGGUGCAGCUUCGAAAGGUCCUUCCAUUGUGCGUGAGGCCCAGCCAGGACAGCGGAGGCGGGUGCACAGAGCCCUUUGUCUGCCGAGUCACCCACCAAGGGCUCUGGCGGUCUCCACAGUCCUCACUGACCUUACACUCAAGGCCACAGAGACAGGUUGUUCUGCCUUGGCUGGCUCUGAUGUCAUCGCCGAGGGAGGGGACGGGGCAGGGGGCGGACAGUGGUGGCCUUCAAGGCUGUCCAAGGGCUGACAAAUUGCCUCUUGCCCUUGAGGUACAACGAAUCACCAAUUCAUUAAAUUCUUUAACACCAUGAUCUAUAAAAUGAUGGAACCUUCCAGUACCUGAGAAUUCUAGAAUAAUGGAAUCUUUCUAAGAUUGUGGAAUCUUUCAUAACAGACUCUGUGGGAAUCAGAAUUCUAUUCUACAGAAUAACAGAAUCUUAAAACCCACAGACUCUUUUAAUAUCUUCCUUCUGGUGUGGUGAGAAUAAAAUGAAAUACUACAUGGAGGGCGGGUGCAGUGGCUCAUGCCUGUAAUCUCAGCACCUUGGGAGGCCAAGGCAGGAGGAUCCUGAGGUCAAGAGAUCAAGACCAUCCUGGCCAACAUGGUGAAACCUCUUCUCUACUAAAAAUACAAAAAAUUAGCUGGGCGUGGUGGCGUGCACCUGUAGUCUGAGCUACUCGGGAGGCUGAGGCAGGAGAAGUGCUUGAACCUGCGAGGCAGAGCUUGCAGUGAGCUGAGAUUGUGCCACUGCACUCUAGCCUGGUGAAAGAGUGAGACUCCGUGUCAAAAAAAAAAAAAAAAAAAAAAA
ensembl:lncRNA